AAUCUCUGGGUUGGGAAGAUCCCUUGGAGAAGGAAACGGUCCUGCUCUCAGCAGAAAUUUGGAGCCUCCUGAGUGACCAGCAUUAAUGCCCCACUUCCCCUCUUGCACAACUCCCAGCUUCUCAACUGCCCAGUGAUGGAAUUAUUGAUUGAUGUCAGGAGCAGUGGAGCACCACUGGCAGAAGAACCUGCCUCCCUGCUCCUUCAAAGGCCACAGGCCCAUGAGAACCAUUCACUGUAGCCUGAGCCACAUGCCUAGAGGCCACAGCAGUGCACAGGAAAGCGAGGGGAAGUGGAAACGUGUAAGCAGACGGCUCAAAGCAACGGGCUCACCACCGGAAAAAAAAAAUAAAAAUAA